UACGUAGGCAGCGAGCGUUGUUCGGAGUUACUGGGCGUAAAGGGUGUGUAGGCGGUUGUUUAAGUUUGGUGUGAAAUCUCCCGGCUCAACUGGGAGGGUGCGCCGAAUACUGAAUGACUUGGAGUGCGGGAGAGGAGAGUGGAAUUCCUGGUGUAGCGGUGAAAUGCGCAGAUAUCAGGAAGAACACCCGUGGCUAAGGCGGCUCUCUAGUACGGUACUGACGCUGAGACGCGAAAGCGUGGGGAGCAAACAGG
rnacentral:rRNA from 1 species